rnacentral:rRNA from 1 species
UACGUAGGGUGCAGGCGCUAAUCGGAAUUACUGGGCGUAAAGCGUGCGCAGGCGGUUUGCUAAGACAGGUGUGAAAUCCCCGGGCUUAACCUGGGAACUGCGCUUGUAACUGGCAAGCUAGAGUGUGGCAGAGGGGGGUGGAAUUCCACGUGUAGCAGUGAAAUGCGUAGAGAUGUGGAGGAACACCGAUGGCGAAGGCAGCCCCCUGGGCUAACACUGACGCUCAUGCACGAAAGCGUGGGGAGCAAACAGG